rnacentral:rRNA from 1 species
UACAGAGGGUGCAAGCGUUAUUCGGAAUUACUGGGCGUAAAGCGUGCGUAGACGGUCAUGUAAGUCGGGUGUGAAAGCCCCGGGCUCAACCUGGGAAUUGCAUUCGAGACUGCAUGGCUAGGGUGCGGAAGAGGGAAGCGGAAUUUCCGGUGUAGCGGUGAAAUGCGUAGAUAUCGGAAGGAACACCAGUGGCGAAAGCGGCUUCCUGGUCCAGCACCGACGUUCAGGCACGAAAGCGUGGGGAGCAAACAGG